rnacentral:rRNA from 1 species
CCUACGGGAGGCUGCAGUGAGGAAUAUUGGUCAAUGGGCGCGAGCCUGAACCAGCCAAGUCGCGUGAAGGACGACUGCCCUAUGGGUUGUAAACCUCUUUUAUAAAGGAAUAAAGAGUGGUACGUGUGCCUUUAUGCAUGUACCUUAUGAAUAAGCAUCGGCUAACUCCGUGCCAGCAGCCGCGGUAAUACGGAGGAUCCGAGCGUUAUCCGGAUUUAUUGGGUUUAAAGGGUGCGUAGAGGGUUUUUUAAGUUAGUGGUAAAAUUUGGGGGCUUAACCUUAAUUUGCAAUUAAUACUGGGAGCCUCGAGUUCAGAUGAGGUAGGCGGAAUACGUGAUGUAGCGGUGAAAUGCUUAGAUAUCACGUAGAACUCCGAUAGCGAAGGCAGUUCACUAGACUGCGACUGACGCUGAGGCACGAGAGUGUGGGUAGCGAACAGGAUUAGAUACCCUGGUAGUC